ACGAACGCUGGCGGCGUGCUUAACACAUGCAAGUCGAACGGUGAAGGGAUCAGCUUGCUGGUUCUGGAUGAGUGGCGAACGGGUGAGUAACACGUGAGUAACCUGCCCCCUUCUUCUGGAUAACCGCAUGAAAGUGUGGCUAAUACGGGAUAUUCUGGGUCUGUCGCAUGAUGGGUCUGGGAAAGAUAUUGUUUCGGUGGGGGAUGGGCUCGCGGCCUAUCAGCUUGUUGGUGGGGUGAUGGCCUACCAAGGCGGUGACGGGUAGCCGGCCUGAGAGGGUGGACGGUCACACUGGGACUGAGACACGGCCCAGACUCCUACGGGAGGCAGCAGUGGGGAAUAUUGCACAAUGGGCGCAAGCCUGAUGCAGCGACGCCGCGUGAGGGAUGGAGGCCUUCGGGAUGUAAACCUCUUUCGCCAGUGAAGCAGGCCUGCUCCUUGUGGGUGGGUUGACGGUAGCUGGAUAAGAAGCGCCGGCUAACUACGUG
rnacentral:rRNA from 1 species